GAGGAAUAUUGGUCAAUGGGCGCAAGCCUGAACCAGCCAAGUAGCGUGCAGGAAGACGGCCCUAUGGGUUGUAAACUGCUUUUAUACGAGAAUAAUUUGAUGCACGUGUGCGUUAUUGCAUGUAUCGUAUGAAUAAGGACCGGCUAAUUCCGUGCCAGCAGCCGCGGUAAUACGGAAGGUCCAGGCGUUAUCCGGAUUUAUUGGGUUUAAAGGGAGUGUAGGCGGUUUGUUAAGCGUGUUGUGAAAUUUAGAUGCUCAACAUUUAACUUGCAGCGCGAACUGGCGAACUUGAGUGCACACAACGUAUGCGGAAUUCAUGGUGUAGCGGUGAAAUGCUUAGAUAUCAUGAAGAACUCCGAUUGCGAAGGCAGCAUACGGGAGUGUAACUGACGCUUAAGCUCGAAGGUGCGGGUAUCGAACAGGAUUAGAUACCCUGGUAGUCCGCACAGUAAACGAUGGAUGCCCGCUGUUAGCGCCUGGCGUUAGCGGCUAAGCGAAAGCAUUAAGCAUCCCACCUGGGGAGUACGCCGGCAACGGUG
rnacentral:rRNA from 1 species